rnacentral:rRNA from 1 species
AUUGAACGCUGGCGGCAGGCCUAACACAUGCAAGUCGAGCGAGCGGCGGACGGGUGAGUAAUGUCUGGGAAACAGCCUGAUGGAGGGGGAGAACUACUGGAAAAGGGAGAGAAUACCGCAUACGAGAAGAGGUGCCCAGAUGGGAUUAGCUAGUAGGGGGGGUAACGGCGCACCUAGGGGACGAUCCCUAGCUGGUCUGAGAGGAGGACCAGCCACACUGGAACUGAGACACGGUCCAGACUCCUACGGGAGGCAGCAGUGGGGAAUAUUGCACAAUGGGCGCAAGCCUGAUGCAGCCAUGCCGCGUGUGUGAAGAAGGCCUUCGGGUUGUAAAGCACUUUCAGCGGGGAGGCGUUACCCGCAGAAGAAGCACCGGCUAACUCCGUGCCAGCAGCCGCGGUAAUUC